rnacentral:rRNA from 1 species
AUUGAACGCUGGCGGCAGGCCUAACACAUGCAAGUCGAACGAGUGGCGGACGGGUGAGUAAUGUCUGGGAAACUGCCCGAUGGAGGGGGAUAACUACUGGCAACGGUAGCUAAUACCGCAUACCAUCGGAUGUGCCCAGAUGGGAUUAGCUAGUAGGUGGGGUACAGGCUCACCUAGGCGACGAUCCCUAGCGGGUCUGAGAGGAUGACCAUCCAACCUGGAACUGAGACACGGUCCAGACUCCUACGGGAGGCAGCAGUGGGGAAUAUUGCACAAUGGGCGCAAGCCUGAUGCAGCCAUGCCGCGUGUAUGAAGAAGGCCUUCGGGUUGUAAAGUACUUUCAGCGAGGAGGCGUUACUCGCAGAAGAAGCACCGGCUAACUCCGUGCCAGCCGCCGCGGUAAUUC